rnacentral:ncRNA from 1 species
AGCCGAGGACGACCUCGGUAUGCGGAUUUCCACGGGACGGGACGACCCAU